CAGCCGCCACGGUAAUACGUAGGUCCCGAGCGUUGUCCGGAUUUAUUGGGCGUAAAGCGAGCGCAGGCGGUUAGAUAAGUCUGAAGUUAAAGGCUGUGGCUUAACCAUAGUACGCUUUGGAAACUGUUUAACUUGAGUGCAAGAGGGGAGAGUGGAAUUCCAUGUGUAGCGGUGAAAUGCGUAGAUAUAUGGAGGAACACCGGUGGCGAAAGCGGCUCUCUGGCUUGUAACUGACGCUGAGGCUCGAAAGCGUGGGGAGCAAACAGGUUUAGAUACCCCCGUAGUCCCUGUCUCUUAUACA
rnacentral:rRNA from 1 species